GACAGAGGUGCCGAGCGUUAGGCGGAUUCAUUGGGCGUAAAGGGUGCGCAGGCGGCGGGGCAAGUCGGACGUGAAAUCUCGGGGCUCAACCCCGAAACUGCGUUCGAUACUGCCUUGCUCGAGGACUGGAGAGGAGACUGGAAUUCCUGGUGUAGCAGUGAAAUGCGUAGAUAUCAGGAGGAACGCCAAUGGCGAAGGCAAGUCUCUGGACAGUUCCUGACGCUCAUGCACGAAGGCCAGGGGAGCAAACGGG
rnacentral:rRNA from 1 species